UACGUAGGGGGCUAGCGUUGUCCGGAAUCAUUGGGCGUAAAGCGCGCGUAGGCGGCCUCGUAAGUCCGUUGUGAAAGUCAAAGGCUCAACCUUUGAAAGCCGAUGGAUACUGUGAGGCUAGAGUCCGGAAGAGGCGAGUGGAAUUCCUGGUGUAGCGGUGGAAUGCGCAGAUAUCAGGAGGAACACCAAUGGCGAAGGCAGCUCGCUGGGACGUUACUGACACUGAGGCGCGAAAGCGUGGGGAGCGAACAGG
rnacentral:rRNA from 1 species